rnacentral:rRNA from 1 species
GUUGACGACCAUAUCACGUUGAAAACUCCCGUUCAAUCACCAAAGUUAAGUAAUGCUGAGCUCAUUUAGUACUUGCAUGAGUGACCACCCGCGAAUACUGUGUGUUGCCGGCU